rnacentral:rRNA from 1 species
CCAGAAGUCUCGGUAAUACGUAGGAGGCAAGCGUUAUCCGGAUUCAUUGGGCGUAAAGUGUGCGUAGGCGCCCCGAUCAGUCAUGCUUUAAAUACUAAGGCUUAACCUUAGAAUCUGGCACGAUACUAUCGGGGUUGAGGAUUGUCAGGGAUGCUGGAACAGUUAGUGUAGCAGUGAAAUGCGUUGAUAUUAACUGGAACACCAAAGGCGAAGGCAGGCAUCUGGGAUCUUCCUGACGCUGAGGCACGAAAGCUAGGGUAGCGAAACAGAUUAGAGACCUGUGUAGUCCUAGCCGUAAACGAUGUCCGCUAGCUGUCACUCUCAAAGCAUAGAAUGCUUUGAGAAAUUCGAAGCAUGAAUAUCGAAAUUCGAAAUAAAAAUUUAAAUGUUCAAAAUUCAAAUGAAUAAACAUUUUUCGGAUUUCGAAUUUAGAAUUUCGGAUUUUCUCAAAAAAUAUUCUAUUUUUUGAGAGUGGCGGUGUAAGCUAACGCGUUAAGCGGACCGCCUGGGGAGUACGGCCGCAAGGCUAAAACUCAAAGGAAUUGACGGGGACCCGCACAACCAGUGGAGCGUGUGGUUUAAUUCGAGACAAAACGAAAAACCUCACCAGGACUUGACAUGAUACCGUUUACUCUCCUAGAAAUAGGAGAGGAUCCCCUCAAGAACAAAAGUAAACGGAAGUUAAAAAUUAAAAGUUUAAUUAGUUAGUUGGUUAGUUCGUUAUUAGUUCAUGGUAAAUUACUGUGAACUGAACUUUGAACUUUGAAUUACCCGAAAAAACUUCUGUUUUUGAGGGGGAUGGUAUCACAGGUGCUGCAUGGCUGUCGUCAGCUCGUGCCGUGAGGUGUUCCCUUAAGUGGGGAAACGAGCGCAACCCCUAUCUAAUGUUAAAUUAUUCAUUGGAGACUGCCCGAGCUUAGCUCGGGAGGAAGGAGGGGAAGACGUCAAGUCAGCACGGCCCUUAUGUCCUGGGCUACACACACACUACAAUGGCGAAAAACAAUGAGUCGCAAGCGCGCAAGUGCAAGCUAAUCUCUGAAAUUUCGCCUCAGUUCAGAUUGGGGUCUGAAACCCGACCUCAUGAAGUCGGAAUUGGUAGUAAUCGCGGAUCAGCAUGCCGCGGUGAAUACGUUCUCGGGUCUUGUACACA